UACAUGGGGUGCAAACGUUGCUCGGAAUUAUUGGGCGUAAAGCGCGCGUAGGCGGUUACUCAAGUCGGAUGUGAAAGCCCUCGGCUUAACUGAGGAAGUGCACCCGAAACUGAGUAGCUAGAGUACUAAAGAGGGUCGCGGAAUUCCCGGUGUAGAGGUGAAAUUCGUAGAUAUCGGGAGGAACACCAGUGGCGAAGGCGGCGAUCUGGGUCGAUACUGACGCUGAGGUGCGAAAGCGUGGGGAGCAAACAGG
rnacentral:rRNA from 1 species